UCCAGAAGACUAGUGGUUAGGCCACAGUGCUCUCACCGCUGUGGCCCAGGUCCGAUUCCUGGCAAGGGAA